GGUGGGGAAUAUGUGGCGGUUAGAAAACAAGGGUGGGAUGGGUGGGUAUUUUUUUUUGUUUAUAUAUACGCAGCAAGCAAUGAUGAUCAGAUCAAGGGUGGGAUGGAUGGGUACAUGGAGCAAGCAAUUUGAUGAUUAGAACAAAGAUAAUAACUAGAACAAUGUGGAAAAGAAAAAUUCAGCAACUAGACAAAUAUUAAAGGAUUAAAACUCGAUAAAGCAAACUACAAAAUCAGUAGCACAUAUGAAUUUGGGCUGUAGGUUUUCUUUUUGGCUCUCAGUGGACAGUAGGUAUUUAAACUCUAUCCUACCAAAAUCAAGAACAAUCCUACCGAGGAAACGAAGGCUUUGAUACCAGAUGAUAUGCUCACGCCUAGGGAUAGCGUGAGACAAGUCGUUGUGGCCCGAUCUUCUCGUAGGAUUCGCGAACUUGAUAACUUGUCGCUGCGUGACCUGGUGAAGAGGCAGUGCACCGCGAGGCUGUCCACGCGACGAACUACCGAGACAAUCACCCUUCCACGUACCGACGAACAGCCCACGCAGUCACGCCGUAUAGACGUGAAGGCACAAGCUGUAACAUCCCUGAUGUUACGGUUACUAAAAAUGGAUCAUGUCAUCAUGAGCAUUGCAAAUCAUAUUUGUUAAAGCACAUUAGCAUGCAUCAACUUAAAACAAGUUUAUUUUUAUUGCUUGAGCUUAGGGAGGUAGAGUGUGUUUAUGUGGAAUGUUGAUGCUUGUGUGGUUGCUAAAAUCCUAGGGUGGGAAUUUUUUUCCGAAAAGCUAAGGGGGGGGGGAAAACCCUGAUUUCUGGAUCCUAGAAUUGCCCCCUUUUGCAUAAGUCAAAAACUAAGCAAAAUUUGAGGUUGAGUUCAAAAGCAAAGUUGUAGCUCUUGGCAAGAUGUACAACUUUGGUGUUUUGAGUUUUUGAAGUUUCAAUACAAAAUUCAAAGUAAUUUUGAAAAUACAGAUUUCCAGAAGUUGUCCCCUUUUCCAACUUAAAACCCCAGUUCAAAAUCUAUUUGGAAUUUUAAAAAGUGGUCAACAUGAAAGUUGUAGAGCACAAAAAGUUGAGCAACUUUCAUGUUGGGAGUUUUUCAAGUUGUUAUGCAAAAUCAAAAGUAAUUUUGGAAAUUCUGUUUUGCCCCAAUUCAAAAAUUUGGAAUUUCCUUGAUUUGAGUUUGAUUUUCAAACUGUUUUGGCC
rnacentral:lncRNA from 1 species